UUUUCAGAAAAUGAUUUCAUCAAAAACAGAGUGUCAUGAAGAUUGCUUAUCAUUUUAGGAUUGUAUAUAGAGUGCUUGCAUUUAGAAUUGCUCAUUUGCAUAGGGGAUAAUGAUGAUUUCAAACCGAUAAGCAUAUUUUGAUUCAAUAAAGUAAGUUCAACGCACAGGUUGUUAGUUCUCUGUUGCAUAACCGAUUGUAUCUCUGAAGUAAGACCGCACCCCGCUUUGAAUUUGUAACUUGACUAUACUAUUUUGAUUCGAAACUUGCUUAUGUGAUGCCAAUCCCUAUCUAUUAGAACCUAAACUGAAUUUGCAAUUAUCAUGUCUAUGCAUUGUUUGUGAACUCAUGGCUACCAUAUACAGACUUGGAUUAUCUUAUUCACUUCACCACCCUCUAUUAAUCCAAGUAGCUGUCUCGCAUUUUGAUAAGUGUGUAUUUUGCAUGUUUUGAGCAUCCAUUUGUCAUCACUUUAGCAUCAUAUCAUCACUGUUUUAUACCAUUUCUCAUCAUUUAUCAUCACUUUAUAUGUUUAGGAUAGAUUUGCAUGCAUGUUGCAUAUUUGCGUUGAUUUCAGGUGAUUUGGAGCUGUUGACGAGCUAUCUGGAAGAAGCGGGCCUGAUCAUGUCAAACCACUUGACCCAGAGGUCGAGUAGGAGCUUCAAGAUCUCAACAGAUCACUCGACCCCCUGGUCGAGUGGAGGACAUCACGUCUUCAUCCCAUCACCUGACCACCACUCGAUGGCAUCACUCGACCCCGAGGUCGAGUGUCUUCACCUUCAUUGCCAGACCACUACUCGACCUCGUCACUCUACCUGGAAGUCGAGUAUCACCAUCACCACCACUCGACUACAUACUCGAUGACAAGCUUCAGAGCCUUCUUCAUUCCGCACUCAACCAGACACUCGAGCACAAGGAAGAAAAGAAGACUCCAGCUAUUCACUCGACCUCCCACUCGACCACAUGGGUCGAGUACAGUUCUUAAUCCGUCCCAAUACUUUGUCGUUUUAAGUAUUAGGGUUUCAGAAUAUUUGGCUAUAAGUAGCAUGUACUUCACAUUUUUGCAGAG
rnacentral:sRNA from 1 species